UACGGAGGAUCCAAGCGUUAUCCGGAAUCAUUGGGUUUAAAGGGUCCGUAGGUGGUUUAUUCAGUCAGAGGUGAAAUCCCAUAGCUUAACUAUGGAACUGCCUUUGAUACUGAUAGACUUGAGUUAUUGUGAAGUGGUUAGAAUGUGUAGUGUAGCGGUGAAAUGCAUAGAUAUUACACAGAAUACCGAUUGCGAAGGCAGAUCACUAACAAUAUACUGACACUGAGGGACGAAAGCGUGGGUAGCGAACAGG
rnacentral:rRNA from 1 species